rnacentral:rRNA from 1 species
AGCGUACACGGUGGAUGCCCUGGCAGUCAGAGGCGAUGAAGGACGUGCUAAUCUGCGAUAAGCGUCGGUAAGGUGAUAUGAACCGUUAUAACCGGCGAUUUCCGAAUGGGGAAACCCAGUGUGUUUCGACACACUAUCAUUAACUGAAUCCAUAGGUUAAUGAGGCGAACCGGGGGAACUGAAACAUCUAAGUACCCCGAGGAAAAGAAAUCAACCGAGAUUCCCCCAGUAGCGGCGAGCGAACGGGGAGGAGCCCAGAGCCUGAAUCAGUGUGUGUGUUAGUGGAAGCGUCUGGAAAGGCGCGCGAUACAGGGUGACAGCCCCGUACACAAAAAUGCACAUGCUGUGAGCUCGAUGAGUAGGGCGGGACACGUGGUAUCCUGUCUGAAUAUGGGGGGACCAUCCUCCAAGGCUAAAUACUCCUGACUGACCGAUAGUGAACCAGUACCGUGAGGGAAAGGCGAAAAGAACCCCGGCGAGGGGAGUGAAAAAGAACCUGAAACCGUGUACGUACAAGCAGUGGGAGCACGCUUAGGCGUGUGACUGCGUACCUUUUGUAUAAUGGGUCAGCGACUUAUAUUCUGUAGCAAGGUUAACCGAAUAGGGGAGCCGAAGGGAAACCGAGUCUUAACUGGGCGUUAAGUUGCAGGGUAUAGACCCGAAACCCGGUGAUCUAGCCAUGGGCAGGUUGAAGGUUGGGUAACACUAACUGGAGGACCGAACCGACUAAUGUUGAAAAAUUAGCGGAUGACUUGUGGCUGGGGGUGAAAGGCCAAUCAAACCGGGAGAUAGCUGGUUCUCCCCGAAAGCUAUUUAGGUAGCGCCUCGUGAAUUCAUCUCCGGGGGUAGAGCACUGUUUCGGCAAGGGGGUCAUCCCGACUUACCAACCCGAUGCAAACUGCGAAUACCGGAGAAUGUUAUCACGGGAGACACACGGCGGGUGCUAACGUCCGUCGUGAAGAGGGAAACAACCCAGACCGCCAGCUAAGGUCCCAAAGUCAUGGUUAAGUGGGAAACGAUGUGGGAAGGCCCAGACAGCCAGGAUGUUGGCUUAGAAGCAGCCAUCAUUUAAAGAAAGCGUAAUAGCUCACUGGUCGAGUCGGCCUGCGCGGAAGAUGUAACGGGGCUAAACCAUGCACCGAAGCUGCGGCAGCGACGCUUAUGCGUUGUUGGGUAGGGGAGCGUUCUGUAAGCCUGUGAAGGUGUGCUGUGAGGCAUGCUGGAGGUAUCAGAAGUGCGAAUGCUGACAUAAGUAACGAUAAAGCGGGUGAAAAGCCCGCUCGCCGGAAGACCAAGGGUUCCUGUCCAACGUUAAUCGGGGCAGGGUGAGUCGACCCCUAAGGCGAGGCCGAAAGGCGUAGUCGAUGGGAAACAGGUUAAUAUUCCUGUACUUGGUGUUACUGCGAAGGGGGGACGGAGAAGGCUAUGUUGGCCGGGCGACGGUUGUCCCGGUUUAAGCGUGUAGGCUGGUUUUCCAGGCAAAUCCGGAAAAUCAAGGCUGAGGCGUGAUGACGAGGCACUACGGUGCUGAAGCAACAAAUGCCCUGCUUCCAGGAAAAGCCUCUAAGCAUCAGGUAACAUCAAAUCGUACCCCAAACCGACACAGGUGGUCAGGUAGAGAAUACCAAGGCGCUUGAGAGAACUCGGGUGAAGGAACUAGGCAAAAUGGUGCCGUAACUUCGGGAGAAGGCACGCUGAUAUGUAGGUGAAGCGACUUGCUCGUGGAGCUGAAAUCAGUCGAAGAUACCAGCUGGCUGCAACUGUUUAUUAAAAACACAGCACUGUGCAAACACGAAAGUGGACGUAUACGGUGUGACGCCUGCCCGGUGCCGGAAGGUUAAUUGAUGGGGUCAGCGCAAGCGAAGCUCUUGAUCGAAGCCCCGGUAAACGGCGGCCGUAACUAUAACGGUCCUAAGGUAGCGAAAUUCCUUGUCGGGUAAGUUCCGACCUGCACGAAUGGCGUAAUGAUGGCCAGGCUGUCUCCACCCGAGACUCAGUGAAAUUGAACUCGCUGUGAAGAUGCAGUGUACCCGCGGCAAGACGGAAAGACCCCGUGAACCUUUACUAUAGCUUGACACUGAACAUUGAGCCUUGAUGUGUAGGAUAGGUGGGAGGCUUUGAAGUGUGGACGCCAGUCUGCAUGGAGCCGACCUUGAAAUACCACCCUUUAAUGUUUGAUGUUCUAACGUUGACCCGUGAUCCGGGUUGCGGACAGUGUCUGGUGGGUAGUUUGACUGGGGCGGUCUCCUCCUAAAGAGUAACGGAGGAGCACGAAGGUUGGCUAAUCCUGGUCGGACAUCAGGAGGUUAGUGCAAUGGCAUAAGCCAGCUUGACUGCGAGCGUGACGGCGCGAGCAGGUGCGAAAGCAGGUCAUAGUGAUCCGGUGGUUCUGAAUGGAAGGGCCAUCGCUCAACGGAUAAAAGGUACUCCGGGGAUAACAGGCUGAUACCGCCCAAGAGUUCAUAUCGACGGCGGUGUUUGGCACCUCGAUGUCGGCUCAUCACAUCCUGGGGCUGAAGUAGGUCCCAAGGGUAUGGCUGUUCGCCAUUUAAAGUGGUACGCGAGCUGGGUUUAGAACGUCGUGAGACAGUUCGGUCCCUAUCUGCCGUGGGCGCUGGAGAACUGAGGGGGGCUGCUCCUAGUACGAGAGGACCGGAGUGGACGCAUCACUGGUGUUCGGGUUGUCAUGCCAAUGGCACUGCCCGGUAGCUAAAUGCGGAAGAGAUAAGUGCUGAAAGCAUCUAAGCACGAAACUUGCCCCGAGAUGAGUUCUCCCUGACUCCUUGA